UUCCUUCCGGGGCAAUAGUUCUGCCAACUGAAUCAAAUUGGGAAAACACUCAAUGUGCAGCCACCCCAAAGACCAUAACCAAUAAAAUAGAAGCCAAAAAUACCUUCCAAAUUCUCAUCUUUUCAAUAUCAGAAUUCAGUUUUAAGAUACAAAAACAAAAAUGCACAUGUAGAACUAACUUGCAACUGAGGCACAAGUAGCAUUCCAAGAAACUCCACAAACUGGGAAAUGACAUUUGCAUUUUGUUCAUCUCAUCAAUUAGAUGUGGAAUUUCGACACAAGGGGUCUAUAAAUGGAGUGCACUCAAAUUGGCAGCAAAAUUGAUCCAUGAAAUCCAGCAAUGACAACAUAACAAGAUUUUAAAUAAAGAUGAAAAAAAGGAAUUAAUAUAGCAGCAUGACAUGAAACUCCAAAACCAUAAAAUUACUGCCAAAGCUAUAUAUAUACACAUCAAAAUUCAGAUAUACUAUGGAAACUCCUAUUACACACAACACACAUACAAAGAGCGAAAAAACCCUAAACAAAAUCGGAAUUAUGUUGGCGUUUUCUUCACCACCCAUGGUGAUUUUUUAUGGAACGACCUCCUUCUUCAGGUGUUAGUGUUUUGUUAUUUCA
rnacentral:lncRNA from 1 species